ACACAGAGCACCUCGGUUUUGCUUUUUAUAUUCAGGCAGAUCUGAGAGGCUUUAUCUCUCAUCAGAGUUACACUGUAGGGAUCAGUGUAGGUUUUCUCACCCCAGGAGAUAACACUGUUAAUGGGCACCUGUGCCCAGAGAUGGUUUCUCUGGCUUCUUGUGAGCCUGGGAGACAUUUCUUUGAUGUGAGUUAAUGGAUGACAGUUUGCUUAUUUAAGCACUUUUAAUGGCUCUAGGCUUGUUUGUAUUUCCCAUGACAUAUGUGUGGAAAAGUCUCCCAGAAGAAUACUCCAGCCUUGCCACCGUGAUAUAAUACACUACAAUUAGAGCGGUAGGCUAAGCCCCUAAAUCACCAUCUCUCUGAAGGAUCGCUUCCUGCAGACAACUUGCAUCAGCUCCUCAGGGCCUCCGCGGACGAAGCGCACCCAUUUCUUCCGUGGGAUACCCUGUGCAGCUGACAAGAUUCCAGCUACCUCUAGUGAUUUGCCUCAGCCCCACCAAUUAAACAGGAAUGCUCUGGCUGAGGUUGCAUCCGAUACUGCCUUGCACCUAAUCUUCACCAGGGUAGGUCAACAUCUGCUGUCCACUGCUAUAUUUUUCUUUUGCAAUAGAACGAGUGAGUGUGAGACUGGCCUGCAUGGAUAGUCCCACCGCUCCUAUUACUGGAUCAAAAUGGAUCACUGCUUUUUUAUAUAUAUUAUUUUCCUCCAUCUAAUACAUUAUUUUAGAAUAUAAAUUCAGAAUAAUAUAAACUUUAACUUACUAAUUUCAAUGUUCUGAUCUUUCUCCCUCCCUCCAUUUCCCUUCCUGCCUUCUGCAUUUUUCAAUAGCUUAUUACCUGCCAUAGAAACCACUGUUUUCUUUCAUAAUUUUUAUCUGACUUUGGACAGGCAGAUAUAUCUAGCCACUGUGACCAUCUCAAGAACUGAUUUUUUUCAUUCAUAUAAAGCUUUAACACUAAAAAAAAGAUACAGUCCAAAAGACAGCUACUAUUACUUAAACUGAAGUGCAGCUUGUAACUGUGACAUUUCAUCAAUUUGUAAAGAUAUGAGCAUUCAAAAAUUAAGUUCAAAAUAAAAUACCAAAAUACAAAAGUCCUGAAUUCA
rnacentral:lncRNA from 1 species